AUCACUUCUUGGCCUUCUGGCUAAGAUCGGGGUAGUAUCUGUUCUUGUCAGUUUAACAUCUGAUACAUCCUCUGUCCGAGGACAAUAUAUUAAGUGGAUUUUGGGGAUUAGGAGAUAGAGUAGGAGCGUGGGCCGUCCACUCCACGCAUUGACCUGGUACUGCGGGACUUCCAGGAACGGUGCCCCCCUC
rnacentral:snRNA from 1 species